AUACGUAGGGGGCGAGCGUUGUCCGGAAUGAUUGGGCGUAAAGGGCGCGUAGGCGGCGCGGUAAGUCUGGAGUGAAAGUCCUGCUUUCAAGGUGGGAAUUGCUUUGGAUACUGCCGCGCUUGAGUGCAGGAGAGGUUAUCGGAAUUCCCGGUGUAGCGGUGAAAUGCGUAGAGAUCGGGAGGAACACCAGUGGCGAAGGCGGGUAACUGGACUGCAACUGACGCUGAGGCGCGAAAGUGUGGGGAGCAAACAGGAUUAGAUACCCUGGUAGUCCACACUGUAAACGAUGAAUGCUAGGUGUAAGAGGUAUCGGCCCCUUUUGUGCCGGAGUCAACACAAUAAGCAUUCCGCCUGGGGAGUACGGCCGCAAGGUUGAAACUCAAAUGAAUUGACGGGU
rnacentral:rRNA from 1 species